rnacentral:rRNA from 1 species
UAACACGUAAUCCACUAGUGGUGUCCACUUAUAUUGGGCCUAAAACGUCCGUAGCCUGUCCAAUAAGUUCUUGGUGAAAUCAACCAGCUUAACUGAUUGAAUUGCCAAGAAUACUAUUAGACUCGAAGCCGGGAGAGGUUAAGGGAAUUUUUGGGGUAGCGGUGAAAUGCUAUGAUCCCAGAAAGACCGCCUGUAGCGAAGGCGCUUAACCAGAACGGGCUUGACGGUGAGGGACGAAAGCUAGGGGAGCGACCCGGAUUAGAUACCCGGUUAGUCCUAGCCGUAAACGAUGUGGACUAGGUGUCCUAGCAUCUAAGAGAUGUGGGGGUGCCGAAGGGAAGCCAUUAAGUCCACUGCCUGGGAAGUACGCUCGCAAGGGUG